GAGGCAUGGCCUCUGCUUGUAUGUGCUCACAUCUCUGAUCCACAGGACUUCUGCGCCACUCUCUUGAUGUUUCCCAUGAGUGCCGGCCCAGAUGUACAGCCACAAAGUCACCGAAGAAGGGCGUGGUGAGAACAGCAGCUCCCUUGUACCUUCAGGCCUGCUCCACCUUUCAGCACUGAAAUUUCAGGAAAUGAGUUCAAGCUGUAAUCCUUCCUGCUGCUCCCUCAGUGCCAGUGUAAGAGCAUUCAGGGCCCGAGAGUACAUGGCCUGUGCCAGUAAUACUGAACUAAAGGUGGGUAUCAUGAAACCUGCAAGAAAUCCUUCAGACUUGAAGUGCUUUCAUCAGCCAAGUGACCUAACUGCUGGUGAGGUCCAAAACGGAGUCUG
rnacentral:lncRNA from 1 species